rnacentral:misc_RNA from 1 species
CGAACGCUGUUCGCGAACGUGUUCGCCAGUGAAUGCCGUGCACCUUUGGUGAGCCAAAGCGAUUCUAACCGGAGGUUCGUUCGUUGGCCGAUCUCGAGAUCGAAGCUGGGUGGUCGAAUCCUAAUCGACUGACCAACGAUUGUUCACACGAGUUUCGUUGGUGAACACACGGAGACGUAGGUGUGUAAAUGGAUAGAUUAUACAUCGUCGAUGUAUCCCGUGCAUGGCUCUCAGACGACUCGUGAACCGCCUCUUUUAUCCGGGGCGCAAUUGAGUCAACGGCCUUUCGAAAGAAGUAACGGUAUACGAUUAUUACUCCUACCGAGUCUAUACUCACGAAACUGAAACAUUCGCGCGCGAGCGCCAGCCAACUCAGCCAAGCUCGAACGUUCGCGCACGCGUUUCGCAGCCUGGUUUAUGGCUAUAGACUGUGGCUAACGUUUUACGGCCACGGUGACGGAUAUCGCCGCCUUUUAAACGACACGCUAAGGCAAACCGGGACGAACGUGUUCCGGAUCAUCCAGCUUUGUAUCAUCGGUGGAACUCCAUUUUUUUCUGAACUCGUCGGGGCACCAACGGCUUAUACAAUUGGCGUUCACGUAAUAGCUUUUACUCUUUUUUUCCUGCCAUUUCAUUGUGGAGAAAGGAAAGAGAAUGGAGAUCUUAUCCAUCGGGUUGAUAACGCGAUUUGUUGGCACAUUGUCCUUAUGUUCAGCCUACAUCGCUAGGUAUCACAUGGCUGAAAAUGGAACGAAACUGUUAGGUUCAAAGAUGAAGUUUUUUAAAAAUAUCUGGCGAGCUCAUUGGAAAGUAAGCUAUAACCAUUUGUAAAAUUACGUACAUUUAACGCGAUACUAAAAUACGACAAACAACAUUUAUUAAAUAAAUACAUUCAAGUCAAUUCCCCGUCAUCGAUUCUUCCUACCCAUCAACCUGAUUAACCUCUACUAUACAGCUUCGUUCGAUGCUUGCAUCAUUGGUCGUAACAAAAUUUCUUCGUCCCAGCUCACUUCGUACCUUAACAUCACAUAAUGGAAAAAACAUGAUUCAACAAUUCAGUGAGUUUUUAUAAUUUCGAGCGAGGCAACUCUCACGGCGCAGCGGUCAGAAGUGAAACGAACAAAACGGUCGAGGUCCACUCGAGAUCGCACAAUCUGGCCGUGUCUUUAGUUGCGCGGGAAUGCAAGGGAGAGGGCAGCUGGGUGGCGUAAGGUUCUCAGGUAGGUACAUUUAGACGGACGUGCGCACGUCGAGAUUCGUGGCCGUUCGCCGAUCGUUGACACGAGACCGGAGCGCUCGACUGCAUUAUCGUUGGCGUGCGAACAGGUAACCUCGCGAUCUCUCUCGCUGCCAGCGUGCAUAUGCGCGCGGCUAUUUUGU